CCCCAGGACUGUGGGAGCACCGGGGGCUCCAACGUGUGCCCAAGCAUCUCCCCUCCCGGUUCAGGGUGACCCUGGCAGCGGGACGUUGGGGACGCUGUGAGCGGUGACUCAGGGACAUGUCACCAGACUCCCCGUGGGAAUCAUCCAGUGACUCACGCGCUCCCUCCCCGGGGAAAACGGCUGUCACGGGGCUGACAUCACUGGGGGAGCCGCCCAGGCCGUGGGGCAGCCACAGUGAGGGUGGAGGGACAGACUGACACAGCAGUUUGUCCUCCCCAUGGGGGUCUGCCCAAAAUUGGAGGUGUUUCCCUGGGUACAAGGGUGACAACUGACCCAUGUCCGCAUCCCAGCACCACCUCGCCACAGCAGAUGGAUUUUAUGGAAAGCCCCUUUUCCUUCGAGCGUCCUUUCCACACCGGACCCACAGCCAGUUUUAUAACCCCCUUGAAAUUUCACAGGUCUCUACAAAGUCACCAUGUUCCAAAAUAGGCUGCAGGCAGGAGGAGCGAGUUUUCCCGGCUGAAACUCCAGGGAGGGACGUUUGGUUCGACCGCUAAACCAGCUCCACUCAUCCCCGCAGCGUUCACAGCUCGAGGGGUCACCCCUUGUCACCCAAACGAGGUAAGUCCCCAGCACGAGAGGUCCGGGUGCUCUGAGGGAACCCCUUGCUCUGUUGUGUUUUGUGGCAUUAAGGAGAAAAGAGACAAUCUAAGAAAAGCAAGGAGGGGUGAAUCUGCGCACCCCAUGAGAUUUAAUACUCUAUCUUUUUCCUUCUUGGUGCUUGAGGAAGGACCUUUGUGAUUUCUCCUAUGAUUUCAAGCACAAUAAACAGACCAAUACUUUACCCAGAUCUAAUUCCAUCAUUUUUGUGCUUGGUAAGCAAUCCCUGUGUUAUAAACAACACAGAAACAACGCAUUACUGAUAGCUGAGGACAAACCUCAUCUCUCAGAAUUAAAAGCAAAAUGCAAAUUGAUUUAAACAGGACCAAGGAUUCAUUGAGUAAAAACCGGGACCAGGCUCUAACCCAACCCACUCUGGAGCCUGUUCACAGGCGGCUGAGCCGCUCCGGCUACACAACAGGGACAGAAACGUGUCAGCCACCCACGCUCCUGCACACGGGGAGCGGCACGUGCGGAGCGGGAGCUGCUGCUGACAUCUGAACCGGAGCCGUUUCUCCCCGCACGCUGCUGCAGCCUGGCUGGAUCCUCCAGCCACAGCCCUACCGAAACGCGCGGUUCCCCGCGGAGUCCGGAGCGUUUCUCUGGUUAAAUCCCCAUUCCCAGAUUGGCUUCACCGCCCAGCGAGUUGCAGGGAACAUCCACGAGCUGCUCAGUGUGCGCUGGGAGCCAGCGGCCGGCCGGUGAUUUCGUACAGCAUUUCCGCGAUGAGCUCGACAAUGUCCGCGUUGCCGAUAACGGGGCGGAAGAAGAGAUCCGUGAUGAGAGCGGGAGAGAUGGAUUUUAAGGUGGAGGAGAUGAGCAAAAUGCGGGCGAAGCGGCCGCGGUCGUGGGGGUGCAGGGGCUGCAGGAGCUCCUGAAGCGCUCGCUGGGCUUCCCGCUGGAGGCUCUCGAUGUGCAGGGAGGCCCUGAGCCCAGGGACGUCUGCGAGGGAGAGGACGAAGAGCUGGUGAUGAAGGAGGCUGGAAAACAGCCCCAGGUUUCUCCCAUUCCCACCCUUCCGUGUUUCUCAGAGGGGAUCUCUGAGGCCGUGCUAGGGGGAUGUGCUACUGAGAUGUAGCGAUUUCAGGAGGGAGCAAAAGCAAACUCCUGCUUCACAAAUUAAAUCCCAGGGUCGUUUAUAAGGGCAGGCAAAGGUCUCUCUGUCUUUUCCCAUCUGACAUCCCCCCUCCCUAGUGCUCCUGGUAACACAGAAUCACAGAAUCAUUUUGGUUGGAAAAGCCCCUCAGGAUCAUCGAGUCCACCUGUUCCCCCACCCCGUCCCUGCCCCAUGUCCUGAGAACCUCAUGUCCGUCUGUCCAGCCCUCCAGGGAUGGUGACUCCAGCACUGCCCUGGGCAGCCUGUUCCAAUGCCCCACAGCCCUUUGGGGAAGAAAUUGUUCCUAAAUCCAACCUCAACCUCCCCUGGCGCAACUUGAGGCCGUUUCCUCUGCUCCUGGCGCUUGUUCCUGGGGAGCAGAGCCCGACCCCCCUGGCUCCAAGCUCCUUUCAGGCAGUUCAGAGAUCAGAAGGUCUCCCCUCAGCUCCUGUUCUCCAGCUGAACCCCCAGGUCCCUCAGUCUCCAUCACACUUGUGCUCCAGCCCCUCACCAGCUCCGUUCCCUCCUCUCAACUCGCUCCAGGACCGAUCGGGGUUCAGGAUUUGGGAGCCUCUCUGCUCUCAGAACACCCCCAUGCCAUGAGGCGUGUGUGGAGCUGCCGUGGGCUCGAGCACUCACCGGGGUUGAAGAGAACGGCUCCCUUCAGGUUACCAUCUCCUGGACCAGCCCCAGGAGGAACAGGGGAACCCAGCAGCUCUCCAGCAGCAGGAGCUGAUCCUCUCGCGGCAGCAGGCGGAAACACGGGAGGUUUUUCAUGAAGCUGACGGUUUUGACCAGCACAUUGGAAGCCGCCUGGCAGGUGACGUGGGGGUCGCGGAGGCAGACGGUGCGGCGCUGGUGGCACAGGCAGCGCUGGUGGGCCGGGCUGCUGUGCAGGUUCUGGCUCAAGAGCGUGUAGAGGAUGGCGGUUUGAUUGUCCUCGCCGUGGCACCGGCACCUCUUGCAGUCCACGUCCAUAACUGCUGGAUCCUCGGCGAAACUCAGCUCCUGUGACAGAGAGAUGUUUAUAUCCCUUCCAGUCCCUCUGUCACAGGCUGGAUUGUCCCCGUCCUCCCCGCCCGCGGCUGCUCAAACCACCUCUUAUAUGGCUGGGUCACCAGUGAAACACCCACAGCAGCCUUGACCGCUCUGCCUAAUUAAAAAGAAAUCAAACAACGCAACGAACUCAGCUAUCCCUGGGCUGAUUGGCUGGGGCAAAUGAGUUUGUGAACAGCCGUUUUCUCAAUUAAACGGGGAAGGGGGUGGCAGGUCAGGCGGCCUUAUCGCGAUUACCCAGAGAGGAUAAACAGAGUCAUUAACCCAGGCUGUACCAUGGCACCAAGGCCCCGCUGUCACCGCGCAGGUGUCACACACACACAGGGCGCCCCGUCUGGGCCCCGCGUUUAAUGACCCCAGCGCUCUGGCCUUGGACGGAGCCACCUGGAAGUGGUUUUAUCAGCGGCUGUUUGCCCAACCUGGCCAAGAGGAGCCUCGUGGUGUUCCCGCUGAUUCAAACCCAGGCCGGGCCCGUCCGUUUGUGUCUCUCAGAGGAGAAUUCUCACAUUCUCACCUGGAUCCACCAGGUGUUCUGAUCCAGGGCUUGCGGAGCUGAUUCCUCCUCACAGAUUUCCAGUGAAGAGAAGCUGCUAAAUUAACGUGUACUAUGAUUAAAAGGCUUAUCCAUCAUUAACCAAUCGACAUGAUAAAUGCUUUCUGACCACCUGCAAAACGAGCGGAUGUUUUUCAAGUUUUAGAUCCUUCUGCAGGACGAGAUGGAGACAGAAGAUUAAGUGAUACAUUGUUUAGAAGUACAAUGCUUAGCUUAUAUUUAACUAAUAAAUAAUAGACGUAAGUAAGAAACUAAACAAUUAUAACUAACAUCAUCUAUUAUUUCUUAGUAUAGAUGUAUUGUAUGUCAACAUUUUCAAAAACUGUAAUACAUAUGCGAUGAUUAUUUGAAUAUAAGCAACGCAAGGGCAUCCGGUCUUUGGAGCGCUUAUGGAGGAUGAUCUCCAGAGCUGAUAAAAUAAAGAAUGAUGCUUGACAGUA